rnacentral:rRNA from 1 species
UAACAAGGAUUCCCCUAGUAACGGCGAGCGAAGCGGGAAGAGCUCAAAUUUGAAAGCUGGCACCUCCGGUGUCCGCGUUGUAAUCUCGAGACGUGUUUUCCGUGCGGCUCUAUGGACAAGUCCCUUGGAAUAGGGCAUCGUAGAGGGUGAGAAUCCCGUACUUGCCAUGGAAGAACCGUGCUUUGCGAUACACGCUCUAAGAGUCGAGUUGUUUGGGAUUGCAGCUCAAAAUGGGUGGUAGACUCCAUCUAAAGCUAAAUACCGGGGAGAGACCGAUAGCGAACAAGUACCGUGAGGGAAAGAUGAAAAGCACUUUGGAAAGAGAGUUAAAAGUGCGUGAAAUUGUCGAAAGGGAAGCACUUGAAGUCAGCCAUGCUGCUUGAGACUCAGCCUGGCCUUUGGGCUUGGUGUAUUUCUCGGUGGCAAGCCAGCAUUGGUUUGGGUCGUCGGAGAAGCGCAUAGGGAAUGUAGCGUCUCCGGACGUGUUAUAGCCUUAUGCAGGAUACGACGACCUGGAUCAAGGAACGCAGUGUGCCCUCUGGGCGGGUCUUCGGACACCUUCACACUUAGGAUGCUGGCGUAAU